GACGAACGCGGCGGCGUGCCUAAUACAUGCAAGUAGAACGCACAGGAUGCACCGUAGUUUACUACACCGUAUUCUGUGAGUUGCGAACGGGUGAGUAACGCGUAGGUAACCUGCCUGGUAGCGGGGGAUAACUAUUGGAAACGAUAGCUAAUACCGCAUAAGAACAUUUGCUGCAUGGUAGAUGUUUAAAAGGUGCAAAUGCAUCACUACCAGAUGGACCUGCGUUGUAUUAGCUAGUAGGUGAGGUAACGGCUCACCUAGGCGACGAUACAUAGCCGACCUGAGAGGGUGAUCGGCCACACUGGGACUGAGACACGGCCCAGACUCCUACGGGAGGCAGCAGUAGGGAAUCUUCGGCAAUGGACGGAAGUCUGACCGAGCAACGCCGCGUGAGUGAAGAAGGUUUUCGGGAUCGUAAAAGCUUCUGUUUGUAAAGAGAAAGAAACG
rnacentral:rRNA from 1 species